rnacentral:rRNA from 1 species
AAUCAACGCUGGCGGCGUGCCUCAGACAUGCAAGUCGAACGCGAAAGUUCCCUUCGGGGGGCGAGUAGAGUGGCGCACGGGUGAGUAACACGUAGGUAAUCUACCUUUGGGUGGGGAAUAACAGCCGGAAACGGCUGCUAAUACCGCAUAAUGCAGCGGCUCGACAUCGAGACAGUUGUUAAAGCGGGGGAUCGCAAGACCUCGCGCCUAAAGAGGAGCCUGCGGCGGAUUAGCUUGUUGGUGAGGUAAUGGCUCACCAAGGCAUCGAUCCGUAGCCGGCCUGAGAGGGCGGUCGGCCACACUGACACUGACAUACGGGUCAGACUCCUACGGGAGGCAGCAGUCGGGAAUUUUGGGCAAUGGGCGCAAGCCUGACCCAGCAACGCCGCGUGAAGGAUGAAAUCCCUCGGGAUGUAAACUUCGCAAGAACAGG